rnacentral:misc_RNA from 1 species
GCGGACUAAUCAUAAACCUUUUCUUUGCCUAAACUAGUCCACCAAGUGAUUGAACAGAUCAAACACCUCGUGACCCCAGACAUGGAACUUUCCGCCUGUGACACUGCCUGCAAAUCCGUCGUGGCUGGACUCGGUGCCCUUGUCUGUCCCACUGCAUGCUCCACGUAAAUCUAUAUCUCUAUUCAAAGAUCAAGUUAUAAAUCCUUGUUUUAACCCCAACAUUUCUAAUGAUGAUCUACACUUUUGAGUGCAUGCGCAUUUGAUAGUUAGUUAUUCUACGGUUUUUGUGUUUCAAUUCAAGGAUAACCGUCUUAUUUGCUCAAAAUCAUGUGUUUGAAUUUUCCUUCACUGCUGAUUUGAAUUAUUAAGGAAAAACCGUAUCUUGAAAAACUUCUUGUUUCCACAUUGAUUAUACAAACACAUUAUCGUUAUUUUUCGAUAUGUUAAUGGAGGGGGGAGGGGGGGGGGGUUAAAGGCGAUUUUUUGUUUUAUUCAUAUCGAUUAUUCACCACCACUUUAACGUAUAUUUCUUUUUUAUUUCCAGAUUGAUCAACAGUCUUAACGGUUAAUCAAUAAAUAUAAAAAUC